rnacentral:sRNA from 1 species
ACAUUUCAACUUUCCUCAACAGCAGUGCUGUUAACACAAGGGCAUACUAAUCUCCUGAGACUCUGCCUCCUGUCUGUCACCCACAGGUAGAAUUGCUGGCUAAGACAAUACUUUUUAUUUACUUACUUACUUUUGGAGGAAUCUUCAUAUUGUCUCUCACAGUGACUGAGCCAUUUUACAUUUCUCCACAUAUUUAUCAGCGGCUUCCAUGCUGACGAUGUUCUUUUAACAGUAGCUAUCUUCAAUUAAAAAGCGCUCCAGCCGUGUUAGUUACCAAGAAGGUAGAAGAACGGAAGCGAAGGAAACAGACAGCAGAAGAGAGCUUGAAGAUGUAUAGUGUUCAGUCAAGGUGUGAGGAGGACUCACCUGUCCAUUGAGGAAGUAAAUUUUAAAAUCACAAGAGGGGGUGAAGCCAAAGCUAAAAUGCCUCCCAGGGCUAGGUGUUGGAGAGGAUAGGUAGGCUCCCUCGGUGAGCUUGCAGACACUAUGGCUGAAGAAGUACACCCAGUUCUACUCCUGCACCGCAAGCCAACAGCGUUGUUCCCAGGCCGUGCAAGACCAUGAGGAAAUGCAUGACAUAACUGUGUUUACGCUUGAGCUUUCGGGUUGCAAGCCUUGGCCCUUGACAACCCCGACAAGCUACAUUUAACCGCCCACCUAGGGAAAAGCGGAGAAAGAUUUACUCAACCACACGUGGAAGAAAAAUGAGCAAAGGGUCCAGAAACCCCAGAAUCCCAGUUUCCACGCUGUUAUUUUUCCCUCCGUGCUUUAAACUUCUCCUCCAAAUGGUUAAAUGCAUUCCAGACGCUAAAAGGAGACCACCAUUACGGCUGAAGGGCCUGAACGAACCAUACGUUGUUUGGUGAGGUGGGUGUGCCUGGGAAGAGCCAACACUGAGGCACGUGACCAUUGGCUUUUACUCUAACUCAGGAGCUGGCUGUGUCCUUUCCCCACUGGCUGGGGACUGACCUCACGAUCUUAUUUACUUGGCUCCUCUGAGGAGAGACAUAGAGGACAGGAACAGAAAGAGGAAGGGAGAAAAAGGUCACUACUCCAGGCCAUCAAAUUCCCAGAAAAGAGCAGUGGGCCUUACUUUGUGUGAACAAAGGCUGACCUGGCGAGGAUGAUGAACACACUUACGUCAAAAUCUUACAAGGCUCAUGCGUUUAUGUGGAAGGAGGAGACAGAAAGAUUGUAAGAGCCAGAGGCCCUGGAUGAUUCCAAGGAGACAGCGUCUUCAGGGGACAACAAAACUGAUAAAGCCAUCUGGAGAGAUCAGAAGUUUAUGCCUAAGACCUGCACAGGUUCAAGCUAGGUGUGGUACCAGCACGGACAGGGGAAGCAGUCGUGAGUUUUCAUCCCUAACUAGGAAGCUGUGGGCAUUUGAUACCUGCUGGGAAAGGGAUAAUCAGUUUUCUCUAAUGCAGUGUCCUUGUAUAUAUCCACCAUACGCUAGGGUAGGCCCCAACCGGUAUUCG